CCCCCUAACCACAACAAACCAAACUAAAUAAACCCAAAUACACAAGACCAAUUAAAUCAAACCAUUUUCCCCUCCUAGUAUGGGCGACAGAAAAGAACCUGUGGGAGCAAUAGAAAAAGUACCGUAAGGGAACGCUGAAAGAGAGAUGAAACAGACCAGUAAAGCCCAAAAAAGCAGAGAUUACCCCUCGUACCUU
rnacentral:rRNA from 1 species